UCACAACCCGGUUGCACUGGGCUCCCAGCGGCUACAGAGUCCCGCGCUGAGCGGGGAGAGGAGGCCCCGAGCUGGGCAGGCGUGGGGUCGCGCGCUCCAAGCGCUGGGGGCGCAGUGGGGCGGCGAGGCCGGGCCCUCCCUGAGGCCGAGCGCCGAGCGGGGCCCACGCCCCCGGGCUCCGGUCACCCCACCCGGCCCGCUCGGCUACCCGGGCUCACCGGCUCCGGCGCGCUCCAUAGCGCUGGCGUUGGCUGGCGGCAGGUCUCUGCAGGCGGCUGCGGCCUGGCGCUGCAACCUGGGGCCAGCCGGGAGAUGACAGUGUACACUGCCAAGAUAACUGGAUUGGAAGGGUUCCAGUUCAAGCUAGCACACUUUUCCUAUUCCUCCACCCACCUCUGACCUCCGACCUCCAGGGCCUGCUGCUGAAUUGGCAUAUUUGUUCUGCCAGGCUCCUUCUGUGUGGACCACUCAGCAAGGUAUAUUCCUAGUACCAAUGGUGUGCUGGAGCUGACUCAUACCAAAUUACAAUUGCAAUAGCCAAUUGUUGAACUUCAGGAAUUUUGAAAGCUGGUGAUAAUGCCCAGCUACUAUUAAAAAUUAAAUUAUAUCUUUGACAUAAAUCACAGCAAGAUCCUUUUUGACCCACCUCCUAGAGAA